rnacentral:rRNA from 1 species
AGUUGACGGGAUAAGUUGUAGCAACACGGCUUUGAGAGUAGCGCACGGGUGCGUAACACGUAUGCAACCUGCCCGUAACUGGGGAAUAGCCCCUCGAAAGAGGGAUUAAUACCCCAUAAUAUCCCCGCAAGGCAUCUUGUGAGGAUUAAAGCUCCGGCGGUUACGGAUGGGCAUGCGGCUGAUUAGCUAGUUGGUGAGGUAAUGGCUCACCAAGGCUUCGAUCAGUAGGGGGUCUGAGAGGAUGUCCCCCCACACUGGUACUGAGACACGGACCAGACUCCUACGGGAGGCAGCAGUAGGGAAUAUUGGUCAAUGGGCGCAAGCCUGAACCAGCCAUGCCGCGUGCAGGAUGACGGCCCUACGGGUUGUAAACUGCUUUUAUACGGGAAGAACCCUUACCACGCGUGGUAAGCUGACGGUACCGUAAGAAUAAGGAUCGGCUAACUUCGUGCCAGCAACCGCGGUAAUACGAAGGAUCCUAGCGUUGUCCGGAUUUACUGGGUUUAAAGGGUGCGUAGGCGGAUGAUUAAGUCAGUGGUGAAAGCCGACAGCUUAACUGUCGAACUGCCAUUGAAACUGAUUGUCUCGAGUACGGUUGAGGUGGUUGGAAUGUUGCAUGUAGCGGUGAAAUGCUUAGAUAUGCAACAGAACACCAAUUGCGAAGGCAGACCACUAAGCCGUCACUGACGCU